rnacentral:misc_RNA from 1 species
CAUCAUAUUCCUAGCAAAAGCAAUUCCCAAAGUAUAAAUUGUAAACUAAAUGCUACCCAAGUAUUUAGAAACAUGCUUUGUUAAUACUUUUGCUAUUUGCGUAGAACAUGAUGCCACACAAUGAACUAUAAUGACAUGAUUUUCUCAUUCAUUGUUCUAUUGUAUGAUUCAUUCCUUUACAUUCUAUUGCAACUUAACAAAAAGAAAUUUCACUGU